rnacentral:rRNA from 1 species
GAUGAACGCUGGCGGCGUGCUUAACACAUGCAAGUCGAACGGGAAACAUUUUAAUGAAGCUUCGGCAGAUUUAACUUGUUUCUAGUGGCGGACGGGUGAGUAACGCGUGGGUAACCUGCCUCACACUGGGGGAUAACAGUCAGAAAUGACUGCUAAUACCGCAUAAGCGCACGGAACCGCAUGGUUUUGUGUGAAAAACUCCGGUGGUGUGAGAUGGACCCGCGUUGGAUUAGCCAGUUGGCAGGGUAACGGCCUACCAAAGCGACGAUCCAUAGCCGGACUGAGAGGUUGACCGGCCACAUUGGGACUGAGAUACGGCCCAG